rnacentral:lncRNA from 1 species
UUUUUGGACUCAAGCUAUCAACACAACUUGUUAUACCCAAAAUUGGUCUAUCAUUAUUAAGCGUCAUGGGAAAACUACCUAUUAGCUACNGGUCUUCUUUGCUUUUUGGACUCAAGCUGUCAACACAACUUGUUAUACCCAAAAUUGGUCUAUCAUUAUUAAGCGUCAUGGGAAAACUACCUAUUAGCUACUUAAGGGAAGGAAAACUAGACAUCUCUUAUUUUCAUGUGUAUGGGUGUGUUUGUUACAUUUUUAGUCAAAGAGACCAAUGCUCAAAGUUUGAAGAUAAAGCUGAUGAAGGACUGUUUCUAGGUAAUUCCAAUAUAUCCAAUGCUUUCAACAUUUUCAAUCUUUGAAAGAAAACAAUUGAGGAAACUACUUAUGUCACUUUCGAUGAAGACUCAUUUAUUCAUUAUCAGGUUGAUCAUAUCUCAUCAAUUCUAAAUUAACUUACUUAAAGUCGUUCAGACCCUGUCCCUAAUUU